GCAGAGCCAGUCCAGAGCCAGGAACUUCUUCCGGAUCUCCCAGUGCAUGAGGUGAAGGUCCAGAUGCAGGAAAGCCUGACCUUGCUGAGGAAGCCCUGCCUCUCCCACUCCACCUGAAGCUAAGAAUGCUGCACAGCCUUGGGAAGGUUUGAGCCUGGUUGCUCUCAGUUCUUCCCAGCGUGGAUGCGUUCCUGCCUUUCCCAGCCUGCAGGAGUCAGAGGGCGCUGUGCAAGCACACUGAGCCAAGGCCCAGUGGUGAUGGUGGCAGCAGUGGUUGGCCAUGGAUGAGGCUGGUGGCCCUGAGGAAGACUGCUGGCCCUGCACCUGAGGGAAGAGGUGUCAAAAGUCAAAAAGAAGGACUUUGAGCACUUGCUGAUGGAGGUGAUGCAGAUCUGGGACUUUCUGCUCAGGAUCCUCAAUCAGGAAGUCCUGGAGAGUUGCUCCAAGUUGAAGAUUGUCAACAAAUUGAGUCUCCCUGCAUCCCUAGUGGGCA